CUUUGUCAGGUGGAGCUGAUUGGUUGCAGGAGCAGCAACAGUUCCAGAGCCAAGCCAUGACACCCACGGCCCCAAGGUUUAGUUAAAUAUAUGUUAUGGCAAAAAUGCCCGGAACAAGAAGGCAAAGCGUCAUGAAGAGGACACUGGGAACUCUGCUGGGGCUCUUGAGUGCCCAGGUUUGCUGUGUGAGAGGAAUACAAGUGGAGCAGAGUCCUCCAGACCUGAUUCUCCAGGAGGGAGCCAAUUACACACUGCGGUGCAAUUUUUCAACCUCUGUGAACAAUGUGCAGUGGUUUCGCCAAAACCCUUGGGGACAGCUCAUCAACCUGUUUUACAUUCCCUCAGGGACAAAGCAGAAUGGAAGAUUAAGCGCCACGACUGUCAGUAUGGAACGCUAUAGCUUAUUGCACAUUUCCUCUUCCCAGACCACAGACUCAGCCAUUUAUUUCUGUGCUGUGGUGCCACAGUGCUCCCCAGGCACCUGCAGCCUGUACACAAACCCUCAGCUGGGCUCAGUUCCUCCACCAGUAACAAGCACAUCGUGA